rnacentral:tRNA from 1 species
CAAAAGUUAGUUAAAUUAUAAUAUAGGUUUUGGGGAUUUAAGUUAUUGAGUUACUUUUGA